ACACUUUGGAACUAGUUUAAUAAAAAAGCCUAAUUUGGAGGCGCUCUCCCGAAAUUCAGAGUCCAAAGAACCCAAAUCCCUAUAGCCCUUAAUCUUCUUCGUCUACCUCCGAAUUCGUCGGUUGCAGACUCGCCAUCGCCGCCAAAUUAGCCGAAUCCUCUGAACCAACGAUGUCGUACGAUGACGUGGAGAUAGAAGACAUGGAGUGGAACGAGGAGCUGCAGGCCUUCACGUACCCAUGCCCCUGCGGCGACUUGUUCCAAAUCACGAAGGAGGAUCUUAAGCUCGGAGAAGAGAUUGCUCGGUGCCCUAGCUGCUCUCUUUACAUCACUGUCAUCUACAACAUGGAAGAUUUUCUCGGAGACUCUGUUCAGAAGAAUAACACAGGACUUGAGCCUUCUAAACAACGGCCUGCCGUUGUGGCUUAAGAAUACAGAGUGCUCGGUGAUGAAUCAUGGUGUCACCACGACAGCUGCACUUGCUGCAGAUGAAAUUUUGUCAGCCAAAUUCUGAGAUUAGCUUGUUUCUUGGAAGUUCGGUUGAAUUAGAUGUUGAAAGCAAUUCAAGGUGUGUUAUUAUCUUCCUAUUUAGAAUUGUUUAUCUUCGGACUUUAGGGAUGUGCUUCUUCUAACUACCAUGGGUUGAUCUAAUGAUCAAUAAAAAUCAGGUAAAUAACAAAGCAUUAAGAGGUACAAUUCAUGGUGGUGAAUACUCAUUAAUUUUUGUACUUCUUUAAUCCUUCCGCUGAUAAAAAGUAUGAUUUAUUAGGGAGAUUUUGCAAGAGAAUCUUGAUAUUUAGAUUGUGUAAAUAGUGCUGACACUUUUAUGUAAUAGGAGCUUUAAUAUUUUUGUUUAC